ACUCAAAUGAAUAGACGGGGGCCCGCACAAGCGGUGGAGUAUGUGGUUUAAUUCGAUGCAACGCGAAGAACCUUACCUGGUCUUGACAUCCCGGAAAUCCCUUGGAAACUUGGGAGUGCUUCCAUUAGGAAGAGUCCGGAGACAGGUGCUGCAUGGCUGUCGUCAGCUCGUGUCGUGAGAUGUUGGGUUAAGUCCCGCAACGAGCGCAACCCUUGCCUUUAGUUGCCAGCAGUUCGGCUGGGCACUCUAAAGGGACUGCCGGUGUCAAACCGGAGGAAGGUGGGGAUGACGUCAAGUCCUCAUGGCCUUUAUGACCAGGGCUACACACGUACUACAAUGGCCGAUACAAAGGGCAGCGACAUUGCGAAAUGAAGCCAAUCCCAUAAAAUCGGUCUCAGUCCGGAUUGGAGUCUGCAACUCGACUCCAUGAAGUUGGAAUCGCUAGUAAUCGUGGAUCAGCAUGCCACGGUGAAUACGUUCCCGGGCCUUGCACACACCGCCCGU
rnacentral:rRNA from 1 species